rnacentral:rRNA from 1 species
GUGGGGAAUAUUGGACAAUGGGCGAAAGCCUGAUCCAGCCAUGCCGCGUGUGUGAAGAAGGUCUUCGGAUUGUAAAGCACUUUAAGUUGGGAGGAAGGGCAGUAAGUUAAUACCUUGCUGUUUUGACGUUACCGACAGAAUAAGCACCGGCUAACUUCGUGCCAGCAGCCGCGGUAAUACGAAGGGUGCAAGCGUUAAUCGGAAUUACUGGGCGUAAAGCGCGCGUAGGUGGUUUUGUAAGUUGGAGGUGAAAUCCCCGGGCUCAACCUGGGAACUGCCUCCAAAACUGCAUGACUAGAGUACGGUAGAGGAGAGUGGAAUUUCCUGUGUAGCGGUGAAAUGCGUAGAUAUAGGAAGGAACACCAGUGGCGAAGGCGACUACCUGGACUGAUACUGACACUGAGGUGCGAAAGCGUGGGGAGCAAACAGGAUUAGAUACCCGUGUAGUCC